UGCUGGUGCACUGAGUCCCUUGGGCGC
rnacentral:piRNA from 1 species